rnacentral:ncRNA from 1 species
UAUAUGAAGAGUUUGAUCCUGGCUCAGGAUGAACGCUGGCGGCGUGCCUAAGACAUGCAAGUCGAGGGGGUUUAGACCCC